CCAACGUGGAUACCCCGGGCGGUCACUCUCCCCGGGCUCUGUCCUGGUGGCGUAGGGGAGCAUAGGGCUCUGCCCCAUGAUGUACAGUCCCUUUCCACAACGUUGGAGAUGAAGCCGGGCCUCGAGUCCGCGCCUGCAUAUUCCUACAGCUUCUCAGAGUCCUGUGGACAAUGACUGAGGAGACAAACCAUGCAGGAAACAACU
ensembl:snoRNA SNORA73 Small nucleolar RNA SNORA73 family